rnacentral:rRNA from 1 species
CCUACGGGAGGCAGCAGUGGGGAAUAUUGCACAAUGGGCGCAAGCCUGAUGCAGCCAUGCCGCGUGUGUGAAGAAGGCCUUCGGGUUGUAAAGCACUUUCAGCGGGGAGGAAGGCGGUGAGGUUAAUAACCUCAUCGAUUGACGUUACCCGCAGAAGAAGCACCGGCUAACUCCGUGCCAGCAGCCGCGGUAAUACGGAGGGUGCAAGCGUUAAUCGGAAUUACUGGGCGUAAAGCGCACGCAGGCGGUCUGCCAAGUCGGAUGUGAAAUCCCCGGGCUCAACCUGGGAACUGCAUUCGAAACUGGCAGGCUAGAGUCUUGUAGAGGGGGGUAGAAUUCCAGGUGUAGCGGUGAAAUGCGUAGAGAUCUGGAGGAAUACCGGUGGCGAAGGCGGCCCCCUGGACAAAGACUGACGCUCAGGUGCGAAAGCGUGGGGAGCAAACAGGAUUAGAUACCCCUGUAGUC